rnacentral:misc_RNA from 1 species
UUUCCGUAGGUGAACCUGCGGAAGGAUCAUUAAAGAACGCCCCGUUUUUUGAAAUGGGUAAUUCUAAACCGCGUAUACAUACCUUUGUUGCUUUGGCAGGCCGCCCCUCAGGGCGUCGGCUCCGGCUGACUGCGCCUGCCAGAGGACCCAAACUCUUUUGUUUAGUGAUGUCUGAGUACUAUAUAAUAGUUAAAACUUUCAACAACGGAUCUCUUGGUUCUG